rnacentral:miRNA from 1 species
GCGUAGGCUGGACCGAUUACCGA